AUUGAACGCUGGCGGCAGGCCUAACACAUGCAAGUCGGACGGUAACGGGAAGCAGCUUGCUUACUUGCCGACGAGUGGCGGACGGGUGAGUAAUGUCUGGGAAACUGCCCGAUGGAGGGGGACAACAACUGGAAACGGUGGCCAAUACCGCAUAAUGUCUUCGGACCAAAGUGGGGGACCUCCGGGCCUCACACCAUCGGAUGUGCCCAGACGGGGUUAGCUGGUAGGUGAGAUAAAGGCUCACCUAGGCGACGAUCCCUAGCUGGUCUGAGAGGAUAACCAGCCACACUGGGACUGAGACACGGUCCAGACUCCUACGGGAGGCAGCAGUGGGGAAUAUUGCACAAUGGGCGCAAGCCUGAUGCAGCCAUGCCGCGUGUAUGAAGAAGGCCUUCGGGUUGUAAAGUGCUUUCGGCGGGGAGGAAGGGAUGAUGUUUAAUACGCCUCGUCAUUGACGUUACCCGAAGAAGAAGCACCGGCUAACUCCGUG
rnacentral:rRNA from 1 species